rnacentral:rRNA from 1 species
AUUGAACGCUGGCGGCAGGCCUAACACAUGCAAGUCGAACGGUAACAGGAAGAAGCUUGCUUCUUUGCUGACGAGUGGCGGACGGGUGAGUAAUGUCUGGGAAACUGCUUGAUGGAGGGGGAUAACUACUGGAAACGGUAGCUAAUACCGCAUAACGUCGCAAGACCAAAGAGGGGGACCUUCGGGCCUCUUGCCAUCGGAUGUGCCCAGAUGGGAUUAGCUAGUAGGUGGGGUAACGGCUCACCUAGGCGACGAUCCCUAGCUGGUCUGAGAGGAUGACCAGCCACACUGGAACUGAGACACGGUCCAGACUCCUACGGGAGGCAGCAGUGGGGAAUAUUGCACAAUGGGCGCAAGCCUGAUGCAGCCAUGCCGCGUGUAUGAAGAAGGCCUUCGGGUUGUAAAGUACUUUCAGCGGGGAGGAAGGGAGUAAAGUUAAUACCUUUACUCAUUGACGUUACCCGCAGAAGAAGCACCGGCUAACUCCGUG